AGCUAUUAUCCUGUGGUGCCCUCCCUGAGAGAAGGGAACGUCGGGCUCCUUGCAGAGGUUCUGCAGGGAUUGUGGGGUUUGUCCAGCAAGGGCAGAGCACAGCCCUGAGUGGUUGGUCUGGGACAUUGUGAGGCUUGUGGGAUGAAUUGGAGAAGGAAAAGGUGUUUUAUAUGGUAUUUCCCUUUUCUCUUUAGAUAACUCAGUCGGUACGAGCAAGGUGGAGACAACAACAGAGCGGUGGAACUGGAGACAAAGCCCUGUUCCCUCUGCAGCUGGAUUUGGAGCUGACCCCGUGGAAGAGCUGCAGGUUGAAGUGAAGAGGAUGGAAAGGAACUUGGAGGAGAAAUUACCCGAUGCACGUGGUGGGAAGGAGAUGCUGGAUGUGGAGAAGGAGCAGAUGAUGGUGGAGAAGCAGGAGCUGGCAGGCUCAGAUGGGAGAGGGGAGAGAGAGGCUGGAGGAAAAUCUGGCAGGAACCGAGAGAGAAAAGGCUUCAGGUCCCUGAUUGUGGCUUCACUUCUAUCCACCACCAGCAGCUGCUUCUGGAGGCUUCCCAGCAGCUCCUGCACGCCUCAGUUGUUCCAGAAUGAGGAGUGCUCUCCGUGAGGACGUUCCCCCUCCUGCCUUUGGCUUCGGAUUUCAGGAGCCUGUGCCCCUCCUCUGCCCUCCUCCUCCACUCCGCAGGAGAUUCUCAGCCAGUGCAACUGAAGGUAGGACCCACCUUUUGAAGGCCACCUCACCCCUUGUUCUGUCAGCCCAGCAAGCUCCUGUCUCAUGGCACACCUGAGGGCUGGCAAGGCCCUGCUUUCUGUAGGAAAAUAACCAAGUUCUGUCGAAGGAGGUGAUUCCCUCUUUGCCUCAGGGCGCAGAGAGGACAGGGCAGAGCACCCAGGGGCCUGGAGCCCUCCAGGAUCCACGAGGGAGGCCCAGGUUGCUGCAGGGGGAGUUUGCCACCUUUGAAGGCUCUGUGGGAUGGUUCAGGCUGAGGAAUUUGGGGCCGUUCGGCCUGGAGAAGAGAAUUUUAGGUGGAGCCCUCACAGAAGCCUUGCCCUAUCUGGAAGGGGCUGCAAGGAAGGCAGAGAGGGGCUCUGCAUCAGGAACUGGAGUGCCAGGACAAGGGGGGAACGGUUCACAGGGAUAGAUGGGAUAUUGGGAAGGAAUUCUUGGCUCUGAGGGUGGGGAUGCCCUGGCAC
rnacentral:lncRNA from 13 species